rnacentral:tRNA from 1 species
GUCGUUGUAGUAUAGUGGUGAGUAUCCCCGCUGUCACGCGGGAGACCCGGGUUCGAUCCCCGGCACGGCG